GUCUAUCAUAUAGCACAUUCAGUAGCAGAACUGACUUAGUACUCUCAUCAUA
rnacentral:snoRNA from 1 species